GUCGAGAUCGUUAUCAAGUCUGGAUUCCUUCUACAACUUAAUGACAAAUGUUUGUUUAUAUGGCCUAUAGAUGCAUUCGGCAACUUGAGUUCAGUGUCACAGUGCUGUUUUUUUUUUCAGUCCAAAGAGCCCGAAGCUGAUAAGACUGACGAUUGAUCCUGAAGCUGAUUGACAGACGAUUGCAUCAUCACAAUAUUGAAGGUUCAAUAUACAGUCAGCCUCUCAUAAGAUAAAGAACAAAUCCCAAGAUCCAAGGCUUGCUUCAAAGUUAAGAGACCAUUCUGUGCCACAAAGAAAUUGUUCAGGAAGAGGAGAAGUGGUGGAUAUUCAUUUUUGGUACGGUACAGUUCAAAGAGAUUUUCAAAAUGGUCAUGGAAGAUCAAAGGGAGGACAACUGAAAACAUUGAAAGAUACAGAAGGAAAAAGAACAAGGAAAUAUAUGGAAUAAUUAUGAAAUUGGGAGGAUGUACACAGUCUUGUCUGAAUUUGAGCUGUGAAAAUUUCCCAUAUUCUUAUUGUAUGCUGGAAUAAUCAAUAACUUGAUUUUUCAUAAAUUUACAAUGGAGAAUACAUGACAAAUGUUAUUGCUGAUAUUUCAAUUUUGCUUUGGACACUUUCAUGUCAUAUGGUAUUUUUAUACAUGAACUAAUUAUGUUAUUCAUUUGUACAUGUACAGUAUACAUGUUUAACUACUAAAUCAUUUUGCUGAAAUCUUAUAAUUUGUACUCAUGUUAGAAUAUGUUAAAUACAUGUAUCGACAAAUGCUACUGACUUGUUUGUAUAUUUUCUUGUUUAGA